rnacentral:rRNA from 1 species
UGCGUAGGCUGUUCUGCAAGUCAGCGGUGAAAGCCCGGGGCUCAACCCCGGAAAUGCCGUUGAUACUGCGGGGCUGGAAUACGGAUGCCGUGGGAGGAAUGAGUAGUGUAGCGGUGAAAUGCAUAGAUAUUACUCAGAACACCGAUUGCGAAGGCAUCUCACGAAUCCGUUAUUGGCGCUGAGGCACGAAAGCGUGGGGAGCAAACA